GACGAACGCUGGCGGCGUGCUUAACACAUGCAAGUCGAACGGUGAAGCGCCUUCCUUUUUGGUGGGUGUGGAUGAGUGGCGAACGGGUGAGUAACACGUUAGUAACCUGCCCCCUUUUUCCGGAUAACAGCAUGAAAGUGUGGCUAAUACGGGAUAUUCUGGGUCUGUUGCAUGAUGGGUCUUGGAAAGCUAUUGUUUCGGUGGGGGAUGGGCUCGUGGCCUAUCAGCGUGUUGGUGGGGUGAUGGCCUACCAAGGCGGUGACCGGUAGCCGGCCUGAGAGGGUGGAGGAGCAGACUGGGGAGGAGGCACAGCCCAGACUGGUACGAGAGGCGGCAGUGGAGAAUAUUGCAGGAUGGGGGCGAGCAUAAUGCAGCGACACCGCGUGCGUGAUGGAGGCCUUCGGGUUGUGAACCUCAUUCGCCAGGGUAGCAGACCUGCCUCGUUUGUGAGGGUGUUGACGGUAGCUGGAUAAGAAGCGCCGGCUAACUACGUG
rnacentral:rRNA from 1 species